CCUACGGGAGGCAGCAGUGGGAAUUUUCCGCAAUGGGCGAAAGCCUGACGGAGCAAUACCGCGUGAGGGAUGACGGCCUGUGGGUUGUAAACCUCUUUUCUCAAGGAAGAAGUUCUGACGGUACUUGAGGAAUAAGCAUCGGCUAACUCUGUGCCAGCAGCCGCGGUAAUACAGAGGAUGCAAGCGUUAUCCGGAAUCACUGGGCAUAAAGCGUCUGUAGGUUGCUUGCCAAGUCUGCUGUUAAAGACUAGGGCCUAACCCUGGGAAAGCAGUGGAAACUAGCAAGCUUGAGUAUGGUAGAGGUAGAGGGAAUUCCUGGUGUAGCGGUGAAAUGCGUAGAUAUUAGGAAGAACACCAAUGGCGAAAGCACUCUGCUGGGCCACAACUGACACUGAGAGACGACAGCUAGGGGAGCAAAUGGGAUUAGAUACCCCAGUAGUCCUAGCCGUAAACGAUGGAUACUAGGUGUUGCACGUAUUAACCCGUGCAGUAUCGUAGCUAAGGCGUUAAGUAUCCCGCCUGGGAAGUACGCUCGCAAGAGUGAAACUCAAAGGAAUUGACGG
rnacentral:rRNA from 1 species